CUACUACUCCCUCCGUCCGAAAAUACUUGUCAUUGAAAUGGAUGUAUCUAGAUGUAUUUUAGUUCUAGACACAUCCAUUUUGAUGAUAAGUAAUUCCGGACAGAGGGAGUAUUAU
rnacentral:pre_miRNA from 1 species